GGGGCUAUAGCUCAGCUGGGAGAGCGCCUGCUUUGCACGCAGGAGGUCUGCGGUUCGAUCCCGCAU
rnacentral:tRNA from 1 species